CACUUAAUCACUGAUCAGUCCUUCAUAUACCGUUCUUUCGUCAGAGUUAUACACGCCUUUGUCGAGUGACAUAUUCUCAAGUUCGUUUUAAUUUCUCCUUACCAUCGAGAUACAACUUUAUUGUAAUAGAAUAUUUGCAUACAAUUAAUUUGUAUAAAGGAAUUAUUUCAUAUUGAAUUUCAUAAACAUUAUUUGGUAAAUAUUUAUCUAGAUUUUGAUUAUCACAAUUAGACGACUGUCUAUUUAACAAUUGUCUAUUUUGAAACUUUCUUUUACUAUUUUCACGAACGAACAUCAAUUUGUCUACGAAUAAUAGAAUAAACUGUACAAUAAAUGUCCGUGAACCUAAUGUUAAGAAUUAUUACAACACCAUGUCCGUUGAAAAGUAAGUAAAAAAUUUCACUUUCGAAAUGACAAAGUAACCGUAUUAAUUAUAUAUAACUCUUAAAUGCUAUAUAAUAUAAAACAACAUUUGUAAUUCAACUUCAAAAGUGCUGAAAUCGUUAAAAGAAGCUUGACAUGCAGGAUAUUAGUGCACCCUGCCUUUAUUCUUCUCCGGCCAUCUGUUCUCUUCUGUCGUUGGAAUGCUAAGGGGAGUGAAAACGACGAACGCAGAGAGAAAAAGAGGGGGAGGAGAGAGAGGGAGAGAGAGAGAUCUUCAAGCAAAGAGGACUUCGCAGAAUUGAAUGUCGUAGUUUUAUUUGAGGAAACAGAACGAGGCCCCGAUGGAGGACCACAAAAUUAGAAGAAACCCACGAGAAUAUUUUUCUAUACGUAUCGAACAUUUAUGAAUCAUUCAAAAAUAAUGUUACCACGUUUAUCUGGAGUAUAUCUACAAAAAUAUAAAAAUCAAUGUAAUAAUAAACAAAAUUUGUUACUACACAAAAUUAACGAUGCAUUGAACAAAGAAGGAAUUCAGAAGAAACAUGUUCAGGUAAAAGCAAUAUUUAACAAACAAAAGAAAACAACAAAAAUUAGAAAAUACAACUGAGAAUUUCGGAAUAAAUGAAAUAAAGGAAGUAAUUAUUUUUGAUAAAUAUAAAUAAGGAGAACGGACGAUUCAGGGAGUGUAUAAAUUUGAAAAACCAACGGACGAACGAAUGAGUCGUACGAUGCAGGUUCGUAGUACAAGGUGGUUCGAAAGCAUCAUAAAUCGAGAGAAGGGUUCGGGGUCUACCCUGCUUCGAGGGUCUGGCUAGAAAUUCGUCUUCUUGGAAAACGACGAACUGGGCUGAUGACCUGUACGCCAGCGAAAUACAGUUCGUCGUAGCGAAUGCUAAUUUUACUGGUCAACUUCAUCGAUGCCUCCACGGUCUCUGGUCUACAGGUCUGUUCAGGAGUUGUGAUCGGCUGAUGAAAUGGUUAGAUAGCGAAACAGGUUUUGUAUAGAUGCUGCUAUUGCUGUGUCAGCACAUUUCGACGAAAUGGUCAAGAAAUCAGCAUUUGUUUUUACAAAAGUCACUGCCAAAUAAAUUAAAUUCACUAAUUCAAAUAAACAUAUGGUCUUCUUCCUAUUUUUAAUAUUUAAUAAAUGAUAUUUACAGAUUGCUCGCGUCUAACAAUGAUAUUGUUGUUAGCUUUCUAAAUGAC